rnacentral:rRNA from 1 species
CCUACGGGUGGCAGCAGGGGGGAAUAUUGCGCAAUGGGCGAAAGCCUGACGCAGCGACGCCGCGUGAGGGAUGAAGGUCUUCGGAUCGUAAACCUCUGUCAGCAGGGAAGAACGGUCACUGUGCUAAUCAGCAGUGAAUUGACGGUACCUGCAAAGGAAGCACCGGCUAACUCCGUGCCAGCAGCCGCGGUAAUCCGGAGGGUGCGAGCGUUAAUCGGAAUUACUGGGCGUAAAGCGCUCGUAGGCGGUAUGUCCAGUCAAGGGGGAAAUCCCCGCGCUCAACGUGGGAACUGCCUUUGAAACUGGCAAACUGGAGUGUGUGAGAGGAUAGUGGAAUUCCAGGUGUAGGAGUGAAAUCCGUAGAUAUCUGGAGGAACAUCAGUGGCGAAGGCGACUAUCUGGCACAUAACUGACGCUGAGGAGCGAAAGCGUGGGUAGCAAACAGGAUUAGAUACCCCGGUAGUC